rnacentral:tRNA from 1 species
GCCCUCGUAGCUUAGCAGUUUGAGCGGCUGCUUCGUAAGCAGCAGGUCGUGGGUGCAACUCCCAUCGAGGGCU